CUUGAGAAACCUAAAAGUUCGAAAAGAGAGAUUCAACGUCAGUAUGUAUUGUAUUCACGUGAGUAGUGAUGCGUGCACAUUUUCAUGUUAUUUUAUUGCAAUGCUAUUACCGUCGUGCACUUCUCUCUUAGUAGGACGUCCCGACCCGUUGAGUCUUGGCCUACGGCUCAGACUUUAAUUUUUUAAUAUUAAAGACCUCUGAUAUUAAAGACCUCUGAUGUUCUCCUGGCUAUAGUACUCGACGGGGUGUCCAGUCGCAUUUUUAAUGCGUCCAUGCGUCCGGCCUGUCGCAAGUAAUUGAUGUACCGUAUUGCUAUAGACUUUGUGCUAUGCGUAUGGACUGUGCUUUAGGACCGACUUAUUCACCUGUCUGGGACGCUUAGGCUUUGGGUACUCUCAAGACCCGUCUUGAAACACGGACCAAGGAGUCUAACAUGUACGCGAGUCAUUGGGUAUAUUUUUUCCAAACCUAAAGGCGUAAUGAAAGUAAAGGUUAG
rnacentral:rRNA from 1 species